rnacentral:rRNA from 1 species
UACGUAGGGUGCAAGCGUUGUCCGGAAUUAUUGGGCGUAAAGAGCUCGUAGGCGGUUUGUCGCGUCUGCUGUGAAAACCCGAGGCUCAACCUCGGGCCUGCAGUGGGUACGGGCAGACUAGAGUGCGGUAGGGGAGAUUGGAAUUCCAGGUGUAGCGGUGAAAUGCGUAGAUAUCUGGAGGAACACCGGUGGCGAAGGCGGCAUCCUGGACCAAUACUGACACUGAGGAGCGAAAGCCAGGGGAGCAAACGGG